GUAUCCUCCCAGAUGAGAUUGUUUUCAAGAGCAUUUAAAAUGUGGUGUCAGGUGAAUAAACCCACAAGUGUCAGUGUCUGUCACACAGCCUCAGACUAAAUACAGCCAGACCCCCCCAGACCCCCACCUCGAGGACCUAUAGGUAGCUUUGCACCUGGUCCCAUUGGGCCGCAGUUUUAAAUUCACUUCACUGCGAUUAAAAGUGGCACAUGGUCCACAAGCUUACACCUUGAAACCUCUUGAGAGGCAAGUGCAAUAAGCAGAUCAGUUUAUAGGCAUUGUCACCCUACUCACUCUAUACACCACCAUCUAAGAAUAAGCAACAGGUUUUAAGGGUCGGUUGCUGCCCCGGGGGGGUCUAAAUGAAAGUGUGUCAGUGUAUGUAUUUGUGGCAGCAAAUAUAGAGAGACCUCCUCUUCUCACCUCUGAGAAAGAGCUAAGAUUAGAAUCACCCUCUGCCCAGCAUGUAUCACUAUCUGAAUAUAGCCUGCUCCCCUUCUCAUGCCUGCUGGGUCUCACUCCGUCUGUCCUCUGCCCUGCCUCUAACUAUAUCCAGCCUUGUAUAGAUCUCCAAACACACUCCGGUUUCAAUCCACAGCUUUCCCUCAUAGGGUAUGGAGAGGGAGAGGAGAAGCCAUGCUUAAUUCUUGGGCUGCAGAUCACAGGUAAUCAUAUUCUUAAAACAUUAACAAACAAGCACGAAAAGGGUAUUGGCACAGUAUAUUAUGCCAUAUAUGUGCAUCUGACUUUAUUAGCCCAUCAGUGGACCUAUUGUGCUGUAGAAAUGUCUGAAAACAGUAAAAACAAAAACAAAAAAAAACAACAACAAGUAAACAAAAAAAAACACAUUUAGCAUGUAUCCACAGUUCAAAUACAGGAAUUAGCAAAUUAUUGACCCUUUUGCACCACUUUCUAAUAAAAACCACUUUUAUAAUUGCUUUAUAAUAUAUAAUAAUUACUUUGAGAUAAUAGCAUUGCUAAUGAGUGUUGCUUAUAAGCCUUUUACAGGACUCUUGCCGCAGGAAUAGCCCGGGUGUUUCUGAAACUUAUGGCUCUCUUCUACACAAGUGCACCACUUGCUAAUUCUUUACAUCAG
ensembl:lncRNA